rnacentral:rRNA from 2 species
GGGGAAUAUUGCGCAAUGGGGGAAACCCUGACGCAGCAAUACCGCGUGAGUGAAGAAGGUUUUCGGAUCGUAAAGCUCUGGUAUUGGGGAAGAAAAAAAGACGGUACCCAAGAAGAAAGUCCCGGCUAACUACGUGCCAGCAGCCGCGGUAAUACGUAGGGAGCAAGCGUUGUCCGGAAUUACUGGGUGUAAAGGGAGCGUAGGCGGAAUGGAAAGUUGAAUGUUAAAUCCAUCGGCUUAACUUGGGGACUGCAUUUGAAACUGGAUAUCUAGAGUGCAGGAGAGGAAAGCGGAAUUCCUAGUGUAGCGGUGAAAUGCGUAGAGAUUAGGAAGAACACCAGUGGCGAAGGCGGCUUUCUGGACUGUAACUGACACUGAGGCACGAAAGCGUGGGGAGCAAACA